AUUGAACGCUGGCGGCAGGCCUAACACAUGCAAGUCGAACGAGUGGCGGACGGGUGAGUAAUGUCUGGGAAACUGCCCGAUGGAGGGGGAUAACUACUGGAAACGGUAGCUAAUACCGCAUACCAUCGGAUGUGCCCAGAUGGGAUUAGCUUGUAGGUGAGGUAACGGCUCACCUAGGGGACGAUCCCUAGCUGGUCUGAGAGGAUGACCCGCCAAGUUGGAACUGUGACACGGGCCAGACGCUGACGGGAGGCAGCAGUGGGGAAUAUUGGACAAUGGGCGAAAGCCUGAUGCAGCCAUGCCGCGUGUAUGAAGAAGGCCUUCGGGUUGUAAAGUACUUUCAGCGGGGAGGCGUGACCCGCAGAAGAAGCACCGGCUAACUCCGUGCCAGCAGACGCGGUAAUUC
rnacentral:rRNA from 1 species